GAUGAACGCUGGCGGCGUGCCUAAUACAUGCAAGUCGAGCGAACAGACGAGGAGCUUGCUCCUCUGACGUUAGCGGCGGACGGGUGAGUAACACGUGGAUAACCUACCUAUAAGACUGGGAUAACUUCGGGAAACCGGAGCUAAUACCGGAUAAUAUAUUGAACCGCAUGGUUCAAUAGUGAAAGACGGUUUUGCUGUCACUUAUAGAUGGAUCCGCGCCGCAUUAGCUAGUUGGUAAGGUAACGGCUUACCAAGGCGACGAUGCGUAGCCGACCUGAGAGGGUGAUCGGCCACACUGGAACGGAGACACGGUCCAGACUCCUACGGGAGGCAGCAGUAGGGAAUCUUCCGCAAUGGGCGAAAGCUUGACGGAGCAACGCCGCGUGAGUGAUGAAGGUCUUCGGAUCGUAAAACUCUGUUAUUAGGGAAGAACAAAUGUGUAAGUAAAUAUGCACGUCUUGACGGUACCUAAUCAGAAAGCAACGGCUAACUACGUG
rnacentral:rRNA from 1 species